rnacentral:rRNA from 1 species
AUACGGAGGAUCCGAGCGUUAUCCGGAUUUAUUGGGUUUAAAGGGAGCGUAGGCGGACGCUUAAGUCAGUUGUGAAAGUUUGCGGCCCAACCGUAAAAUUGCAGUUGAUACUGGGUGUCUUGAGUACAGUAGAGGCAGGCGGGAUUCGUGGGGUAGCGGGGAAAUGCUUAGAUAUCACGAAGAACUCCGAUUGCGAAGGCAGCCUGCUGGACUGUAACUGACGCUGAUGCUCGAAAGUGUGGGUAUCAAACAGGAUUAGAGACCCUGGUAGUCCACACAGUAAACGAUGAAUACUCGCUGUUUGCGAUAUACAGUAAGCGGCCAAGCGAAAGCGUUAAGUAUUCCACCUGGGGAGUACGCCGGCAACGGUGAAACUCAAAGGAAUUGACGGGG